GGGGCCGUAGCCCAACUGGCAGGAGGCACACGGUUUAGGUCCGUGACAGUGCGAGUUCGAAUCUCGCCGGCCCUACGA
rnacentral:tRNA from 1 species